AGUUGCAGCCAUGACGGGAGUCAGGGAAUUAGCUGCUUCGACGGGGAGCUUGAGCAUACGGUGUGCCAUGUCGUGUUCAUUUGGCAUCGGCUGGGCAAUCGGUGCCUACCGGGCAUUGAGCGUGCAGUCAGUGCAUGUGGGAAAAGGGUUGUUGACGACAUGGCAAGCUGUAUGGGAUGGCAAACCGUGGGACGGUGAGCUCGCUGCAUUUUUGGUGCCGACGUGCCUAACGGGGCGUGCUUGGGCGUUUUGGUUGCUGUUUGUUGUUAGCAAUGCCGCAAUGCAUUGUGAGGCAAUGAAUGGUGGCCAUUUCGUCUGGGCAUUGUGUACGUAUGGUGCGUGAGUGGUGGUUGGCUUGUUUGGGCACGUUGGAUCCCUGCUUGGGCAGCGACGGCGUGCCUGGCUUGCCUCUUCAGUGGGCGGCCCAAGUGCGUAUUAGCCUUGGACGUUGUGGGUUACCUGUGUUGUAUACCUAUCGCGAGGGCAUUCGAUCGGUUAAAAACGUCCCGUUUCCGCCUUGUGCCGGGCCUUUCGGGGCUACGGUGCGGGGCGGACACCAAAGCACCCGCCGUGUUCCACUUCCCGUCCGUUCUCACACGCAUUCGGGUUGUUGGUGCAUGGCGUCGUGCUCGAUCCCUUGGAUGCGGAAAAUUGAGUGGGCACGAGGCCCUUGGCCCCUAUUUGCCCCGAAACAAAGCAUUCUAUGCUUCGUGGGAACGACGACCGUUGCCGCUGUGAUCGGGUCCUCGUGGCUUCGAUCACACGGCACCGGCGCCGAUGAGGAAUGCU
rnacentral:misc_RNA from 1 species